GCCCGCAGCCUCCAGCGUGGCCAGAUCGCCCAGCAGAGCCGCUUGCACCGGCCCACACCUCCCACUUCCGCCCUUCACUGCUUAGGUCCAGCAGCCAAUAGGUCCCGGGAAAACGCCGCCGCCACGCACAGGUUCCGGGCAGAGACUUGCUACCCAGUAAGAGGUAGUGAGACUGUGCGCAAGGGGCGGUGUCGGGAUGACGCAACCACCUCUCGAGAGGCCUUGGCCACUCUAGCCGCCGCCGCCGCCAGUGCCACGAAAUCUUCCGCCUUUCACCUCGUCUGCUCCCUGGCAACCAGAACCCACACUCUGAGCCCCAGAGGAGAAGGGUGGAGUGGUACCAGGCCUCUCUGGACGUAUGGUGUAAGGCAUAACGUGAUCUUCACAACGCGCACACCAUUGCCUUUAUUUGAACUGAAAUCUGAAUGUGCCUGCAGUAGCACCACAGGUGCUUUGCAAGAGCUCUGGGUAUGCGGUGGGAACUACACCUUCAUUAUAGGCAUGUGAAGAUCGAUAUUUGAGCUAGAGUCCAGGCUGCACGGUGUCCCUUGUACUUGGCAGUAAAAGCAGCUGCUUUGACUGGAGGGCUCUCAA